ACACUACUGAAGAGUCCCACAAUAGGACGAAACGUUCUGUCCAGUGC
rnacentral:hammerhead_ribozyme from 1 species